rnacentral:rRNA from 1 species
UACAGAGGUCUCAAGCGUUUGUUCGGAUUCAUUGGGCGUAAAGGGUGCGUAGGCGGCGCGGUAAGUCGGGUGUGAAACCUCCAGGCUCAACCUGGAGACGCCACCCGAUACUGCUGUGGCUUGAGUCCGGUAGGGGAGCGUGGAAUUCCUGGUGUAGCGGUGAAAUGCGCAGAUAUCAGGAGGAACACCAGCGGCGAAGGCGGCGCUCUGGGGCCGGAACUGACGCUGAGGAGCGAAAAGCGUGGGUAGCAAACAGG